UGUGCCUUGUGAUGUUAUCUGUAUAUUCUAGGAUUCUAUCUGAGUUUUUUGAGCUUCUGUCUUGUUACGUUGCUAUUUGGAGCAUUGGAUAUGCAUGUACCUAGGUGGCGAUGUCCCUAUGAGAUAAGAUUGUACUCUAUUCCCUUUUAUUGCUGUUGAUUUGUUGUUUCUCUUCAUCAACUGAUUGAUCCUAGAUGAUUGUGAGAUUGCAGAUUUUAAUAUUCAGUUUGCAAUACAUUGGAUGGGAGCACUACCACACAGUAGGAGAGCCGUCGACCAUCGCCGCUUGUGUCACCGUGGAGGAGGGACGCAAGCUCGACCUUGGCUGUUGUAGCACUCCGCCAGACCGCUGACACAACACGGCAGCACCGGCACGGCGUCACCAGCCCUGCCUCCAGCACCUUGGCUCCUCCCACUCAUCAUAUAUCCUCUAUAAAGCUAUUGUACAAGGCAAAAACCAAGGAGGCAAGAACAGGAAGCCAAGAACAAGUAUGCAAUAGGUAUGAACCACAUUCAUAUUACUUUGUUCAUUCUUAACAGUUGAAACUGCUUUUCUUUUCUUGUUAGGCUCUAUUUAUGCCAUGUUAGCCAUAUUACUUGAUUUCAAUAACAACAGCUAGGUAUGAAUUGUUUUUUUUUCCUUUGGUGAAGGUAAUGCAAUCGUUAUUUCCCUUUGCGUAUUCAACCUGUUGUCUCCCCUUUAGUUUUGUAAGACUAAAAAUGUCUCUGUAAUUGAUUAUCAUAAGAAGCAAGUAACUCAUUUGUAGCAUUACAUUUGUCUCUGACUGCACUAGUGGUUGAUCUGUUCUCAUGCUGUCUGAUGUAGCUGCACAUUUCCAUAUUUUAACCUAUGGUCUGCUCAGUCAAUGAGAUGCUAUUUCUGUAACUCAUGCCUAAAUUAACUGAUCAUAUCUUUCUUUUCCUUGUUUUAGAUGUAAUAACGAAUUUGUAUACUGUAGACGACUAAUCUUUGCUGUACACUUAUGAUGUAUAUAUGAGGUUGAUCUUUUUGGUUAUCAUGUGGUUUGAUACGUAAAUAGGAGAGGUAUUUUCACUACUA